UACGGAGGGGGCUAGCGUUGUUCGGAAUUACUGGGCGUAAAGCGCUCGUAGGCGGCUUUGUACGUUAGAGGUGAAAGCCCGGAGCUCAACUCCGGAAUUGCCUUUAAGACUGCAUCGCUCGAAUCAUGGAGAGGUGAGUGGAAUUCCGAGUGUAGAGGUGAAAUUCGUAGAUAUUCGGAAGAACACCAGUGGCGAAGGCGACUCGCUGGACAUGUAUUGACGCUGAGGUGCGAAAGCGUGGGGAGCAAACAGG
rnacentral:rRNA from 1 species